AAAUUGAAGAGUUUGAUCAUGGCUCAGAUUGAACGCUGGCGGCAGGCCUAACACAUGCAAGUCGAACGGUAACAGGAAACAGCUUGCUGUUUCGCUGACGAGUGGCGGACGGGUGAGUAAUGUCUGGGAAACUGCCUGAUGGAGGGGGAUAACUACUGGAAACGGUAGCUAAUACCGCAUAACGUCGCA
rnacentral:rRNA from 3 species